GACGAACGCUGGCGGCGUGCCUAAUACAUGCAAGUAGAACGCUGAAGAGAGGAGCCUGCUCUUCUUGGAUGAGUUGCGAACGGGUGAGUAACGCGUAGGUAACCUGCCUUGUAGCGGGGGAUAACUAUUGGAAACGAUAGCUAAUACCGCAUAACAAUGGAUGACACAUGUCAUUUAUUUGAAAGGGGCAAUUGUUCCACUACAAGAUGGACCUGCGUUGUAUUAGCUAGUAGGUGAGGUAAUGGCUCACCUAGGCGACGAUACAUAGCCGACCUGAGAGGGUGAUCGGCCACACUGGGACUGAGACACGGCCCAGACUCCUACGGGAGGCAGCAGUAGGGAAUCUUCGGCAAUGGGGGCAACCCUGACCGAGCAACGCCGCGUGAGUGAAGAAGGUUUUCGGAUCGUAAAGCUCUGUUGUAAGUCAAGAACGGGUGUGAGAGUGGAAAGUUCACACUGUGACGGUAGCUUACCAGAAAGAGACGGCUAACUACGUG
rnacentral:rRNA from 1 species